UACGGGGGGGGCAAGCGUUGUUCGGAAUUACCGGGCGUAAAGGGCUCGUAGGUGGCCAACUAAGUCAGACGUGAAAUCCCUCGGCUUAACCGGGGAACUGCAUCUGAUACUGGAUGGCUUGAGAUUGGGAGAGGGAUGCGGAAUUCCAGGUGUAGCGGUGAAAUGCGUAGAUAUCUGGAGGAACACCGGUGGCGAAGGCGGCAUCCUGGACCAACACUGACACUGAGGAGCGAAAGCCAGGGGAGCAAACGGG
rnacentral:rRNA from 1 species